GAUGAACGCUAGCGGCAGGCUUAAUACAUGCAAGUCGUGGGGCAGCGCAGGUAGCAAUACUGGGCGGCGACCGGCAAACGGGUGCGGAACACGUACACAACCUUCCGAGAAGUGGGGAAUAGCCCAGAGAAAUUUGGAUUAAUACCCCGUAACAUAACGAUGUGGCAUCACAUUGUUAUUAUAGCUUCGGCGCUUCUUGAUGGGUGUGCGGCUGAUUAGAUAGUUGGCGGGGUAACGGCCCACCAAGUCUACGAUCAGUAGCUGAUGUGAGAGCAUGAUCAGCCACACGGGCACUGAGACACGGGCCCGACUCCUACGGGAGGCAGCAGUAAGGAAUAUUGGUCAAUGGACGCAAGUCUGAACCAGCCAUGCCGCGUGAAGGAUUAAGGUCCUCUAGAUUGUAAACUUCUUUUAUCUGGGACGAAAAAGGCGAUUCUUCGUCACUUGACGGUACCAGAUGAAUAAGCACCGGCUAACUCCGUGCCAGCAGCCG
rnacentral:rRNA from 1 species